CUUUUAGCCAUUUAUUACUCUGAACGAUCUCGGCCCGUCGGCCGCCUCCUCUUCCCCUUCCGUUCCCUUGCGUUGGUGUUUCUAUUCAUCGCUGACGAUUGACGCUAGAUUGCCGCGACCCUCGGAAUUUCAGUUCGCGGUUGGGGCAUGGAGGAAGAGGAACUCACCUCCGGCGGCGGCGACGCGGCGUUGCUGGCGCCGGAACCGCGCGAACAGGCGGCCGAAGAGGGGAGGUCACCGCGAGACGCGGAGGCGUUCGAGGACGCGGUGGAAGAGGCGUCCGCCGCCUCCACGUCGCCGGUGGCGUGCUGCAAUGGCGACGCCGCGGAGACUUCGUCUCCGCCAGCUUGGAAAUCGCAGGUCGACGGGCCGUCGGCCCCGGAGGAAGCGGAAACGUACGAGUCGCCGUCGGCUUCGUCGUCGGGGUGUGCGGCGAUGGAGGUGGAGUCUUCGUUGGUUUCUGAAUUGCGGGAGGAGCCGGGGAGGGUGGAUGCUGGAAGCGCCGCGUCGCCGUCGGGGCAGCGCGCGGGAGGCACGGAGGAGCACGAGAAUUCGAUGGCCACGCCGGGGGCAGGAUCGCCGUCCAGGGAGGAGACGGACUCGUGUAUGCACUCGGCACCGUCGUCCCCGCCGCGCUCGGCCUCGUCGACGUCGUCCCCGCCGCGCUCAGCCUCGUUGACGUCGUCUCCGCCGCUGCCGCAGAUUAAGCAGCAGUCGCGGCAUGUGCGAACCGGCAGCUUCCAGCGGUUCCGUGAGCAGAUGCAGCGCGCUUGGAAGUGGGGGCCUAUUGGAGGUGGAGGAGGUGGCGAGAGGAGUCCUAGGGAGCAGUUGUUACGGACGACUGUGAACAUUGAGGCUAUGGCGAAUCAGAAGCGGCACUGGUAUCAAGUCCGCUCCAAGUCGCAGGAUAAUUGGCAAUAUAGGGAACCGACAUCGCUCUUUGAACAUUUUUUCGUGGUUGGUCUCCACUCUUAUGCAGAUGUCGGAGUAGUUGAGGAUGCUUUUGCAAAAAAGAAAGCUUGGGAAUCUAAUGUAGCACGAUCAGAGAUAGUAAAUCUUAGAAAAAACCAGUAUCGUGGGCCUGUACCAUCUAUGGAACCCCAGAUUCUUUUCAAGUAUCCACCUGGAAAGAGGGCAGAAGUUAGGGAGGCUGAUUUGCCCUCAUUCUGUUUUCCUGAAGGUGUAAAGGCUCGCCUAAUAGAGAGGACUCCAUCCAUGAGUGACCUGAAUGAAGUGAUAUUUGGGCAGGAACAUCUGUCUCGAGAUGAUCUGUCUUUUAUCUUCUCCCUCAAGGUAUCAGACAAUGCGCCACUAUAUGGUGUUUGUCUGCAUGUUCAGGAAAUAGUUCAAAAGGCACCUGGUAUACUAGGUGCUGUCUCACCCUUAAACCCUACUUCCUAUAAGCCCAGUCGUUUCUUGGUUUCUGCACCACGUUGUUACUGUCUACUUACAAAGGUACCUUUUUUUGAGCUACACUAUGAGAUGCUAAACAGCAUUAUUGCACAGGAGAGGCUUGACAGAAUAACACAGUUUGCUAGUGAAAUUACUCUAGCUGAGCCAGUUCCUCGUCCUAUUAAAGAACAAGAUGGAGUAGACGGUGAUUUUGAUUCCUCAAAUGGGAUUCCAUAUAUUGACUGGACAGAAUAUGCUGUACCUGUCAACAGUAUAUCAGGUCUCAUUUCUUCAUCCAGUAUUCCAUCAGAAAGGGACAUGUCUUCAUAUUUGUUCAGGAGCUGGGAGCCUAAUUCUUCUCAAAGUAUAUCUGGUAGUGAGAUUUCAGAUUCUAGUUAUGUAAGAGAAGUUGAGGAGGCAAGGCAUAGUUUCCAGCAUUAUGAAGAUUGUAUAGUAGAGAACUUGGAACCACGUUGUGAUAGCUUUGGGAGAGCAAGUUACAUGUAUGAUAAUGGGCAUACUUCCCCAGAUCUUCUGUCCAUGCAUUCUCCUGCCUCUAGCAGAUUAGAGCGUGCACAAAGUGUGGAGUCUUUAGAAAGUUCAGUCAAAGGUGCAACAUCAGAUGAAGAAUAUGAAGUAAAUGUGAAGCAUGAAGUGAUUGUUGAUGAUGAAAAAGUUGUAGGAUGGGCUAAGGCACACAAUAACGAACCUCUACAGAUUGUGUGUGGUUACCAUGCUCUUCAUCUGCCACCUCGUGGUGGUGAACUUGUAUUCCGCCCCCUUGAACAUCUCCAACCUGUGAAAUACUCCCGGCCUGGAUUACCCUUGUUGGGUUUUGGAGAGGAGAUUUUGGACAAUGCUUUGACUAGGGCAGAAAAAAAUAAGAUCAAUUUACAUUUGGUGGCUGCAGAAGAAGCUCUUGCAUUGUCGAUAUGGACUAUGGCUACAGUUUGUCGUUCUCUGUCUUUGGAAAGUGUGCUAGGCUUAUUCACUGGAGUUUUGCUGGAGAAGCAAAUUGUGGUAAUAUGCCCAAAUCUGGGUGUUCUGUCAGCAAUUCUUUUGUCUAUUAUACCGAUGAUAAGGCCGUUCCAGUGGCAAAGUCUGUUGCUUCCGAUUCUUCCGAGGAAAUUGAUUGAUUUUCUUGAUGCCCCUGUACCUUUCAUUUUUAUUUUAUAGGCUGGUGUACAACAUAAACCCCCUGAUAUCAAGAUGAAAGGAUCUAGUCUUGUCAGGGUCAAUGUCCAGAAAGAUCAGGUCAAGGCAUGUUCACUGCCUCGACUUCCACAUUACAAGGAGCUCGUUUCUAAUCUCGGUCCACUUCAUGCCAGACUAUCGUGUGAGAAUUCUUUGGCUAAGAGACAUCCCAUCUAUAAAUGCAAUGAAGUUCAGGCUGAUGUAGCUUGGAAGUUCUUAAAUAUAAUGAGAACCUACUUGGAAUCACUUUGCUCUGACCUGCGCUUUCAUACCAUUACAAAUGUACAGUCAAAUAAUGACAGGGUUUCUUUGCUUCUGAAAGACAGUUUCAUUGAUUCGUUCCCCUCAAAUGAUAGACCAUUUAUAAAGCUCUUUGUGGAGACGCAGAUGUUUUCUGUUCUAUCAGAUUCUCGACUGUCCAGUUUCGAAAAUGAACGGACAUAAAGGCAUUGUUCCAGUGGAGAUCAAACACAGUGAUACUCUCUGCUUUGGUUUUGGCGUCUGCUUCCUGGUGCUACCUUUACAUGUCAUUUCCAAUGCGCAGGGGAUUGGGAAGAUAAAAACAAGGCACGUCGCGUGGAGUGCGGAGGAUUUCGAUUUUGCCGAAGCCACAUCACUAAUUAGAAGUGUUCUGAAAAGUAUCUAGGCUCGUCUGCAAUGUAAGAAGAAUACGACGGACUCUCAGGUUAUAGGAAAUAGAUGCAACCCGAUCUUCUAAAUGGGACCGAGCUACAUGUGGCGCACAAGGAAAACAAAUGAUGAUGAAUAUAGUUGGGUUUCUGCUUGCGAUCUUGUUUUGCUAUGUAACACUAGUGUGUAGUGACUUAGCUAUAUUUCAUAUAGGGAAAAGAAGAACCCUGUAUAUAGGUGAAGUUAUUCAUUGGAGUUACGCGUCCCCGGUUUGAUCAUGUAAAUCAUGACCUGGUGCGCAAGAAACCGGCAUCAGUUUUGAAUAGGGAACGUUUUGCAAUUUAGUGCAUUUAAGGCCAUGGAGUGGAACAACUUCGACGUA